UGAUCCCUCCAUGCCGCGUGUGUGAAGAAGGCUCUAGGGUUGUAAAGCACUUUCAGUAGGGAGGAAGGCCAGAGUGUUAAUAGCGCUUUGGAUUGACGUUACCUACAGAAGCAGCACCGGCUAACUCCGUGCCAGCAGCCGCGGUAAUACGGAGGGUGCAAGCGUUAAUCGGAAUUACUGGGCGUAAAGCGCGCGUAGGCGGUUUGUUAAGUGUGAUGUGAAAGCCCAGGGCUCAACCUUGGAACUGCAUCACAUACUGGCAAGCUAGAGUACGGUAGAGGGGGGUAGAAUUCCAUGUGUAGCGGUGAAAUGCGUAAAGAUGUGGA
rnacentral:rRNA from 1 species